rnacentral:rRNA from 1 species
CCUACGGGUGGCAGCAGUGAGGAAUCUUGGUCAAUGGACGAGAGUCUGAACCAGCCACGUAGCGUGAAGGAUGACUGCUCUAUGGGUUGUAAACUUCUUUUAUAUGGGAAUAAAAUGUUCCACGUGUGGGAUUUUGUAUGUACCAUAUGAAUUAGGAUCGGCUAACUCAGUGCCAGCAGCCGCGGUAAUACGGAGGAUCCGAGCGUUAUCCGGAUUUAUUGGGUUUAAAGGGAGCGUAGGUGGAUUGUUAAGUCAGUUGUGAAAGUUUGCGGCUCAACCGUAAAAUUGCAGUUGAAACUGGCAGUCUUGAGGACAGUAGAGGUGGGCGGAAUUCGUGGUGUAGCGGUGGAAUGCUUAGAUAUCACGAAGAACACCAAUGGCGAAGGCAGUUCACUGGACUGCAACUGACACUGAGGCUCGAAAGUGUGGGUAUCAAACAGGAUUAGAUACCCCAGUAGUC